rnacentral:rRNA from 2 species
AAAUUGAAGAGUUUGAUCAUGGCUCAGAUUGAACGCUGGCGGCAGGCCUAACACAUGCAAGUCGAGCGGCAG